UGCAUAUUACAGAGAAGGAAUGGGAAAUUAUUGGGUUUUCAGGCUAAGUCAACCCUGUCAAAGCCAUGAUUUCAGUAGUGUUUUUGACGAAAACUUUAACUUAGUACUAAUCAAACUUCUAAUAUAUUGACCCCCCCCCCCCCAGGGUGGUGUCCAUAUCGUCACAAAUCUUGCUUAUCUAACCAGGUGAGGGCAAAAUUAUAUUUUGGUUAAAUUUCUCGAUUUAGUACAAAUUCAGCACAAAUAAUUGCUGGGAAAUUCCG
rnacentral:lncRNA from 1 species